CUCCCCUAGGCCAAGUCAGUUCUUCCCACCUAAAAUACAUUACAACCGACUAGGAAAUUGUAAAAAGACGUUGAUUUUUAAGUAUCUUACUAAUCUUUAUUCACAGUAUUCUAAGCAGCCAUUAGCAUUAAGCACAUUUUCCAAGAUGGCACACAGUCAUUAUAGGUGCAGACUUUGGCAUUUCACACAGUAAACUUUUUAGAGAUUUAAUUAUUAAAAUAUGAUAAACUCACACCUUUAACUUUACAUCAGUCUUAACACUUCUCAGAGCUGUGGAGUUUGACUCUAAAGAUGAGGAGCACACAAUCAUACCCAUCACAAUCACCUUCUUAAAGUUAUCUAGGUAUCAGUUUGAACACUUGAGUUGAUGCAUUGAAAACAACUCCAUAUUACACUAUAUCUAUAAGCAAACCAGAAAACUUUAUUUGUAGUAGCUAAGAAAGCAGCUUUUCAUAGAGACUGAAAAAAGUAGGAGAAAAAUGAGCUAGUAGCUAGCCCUUAAGAAAUAAUUUUAAUAGUUUAAAAAUCUUUCACAGAAUCUUACUUAAAAGGAGGUGACAUUAACUCAACAUUUAACAGAGAUGAAAAUAAUUUUUAGUAAGACUCUGGCCUAAAACUAGGCCUUCGAUUGCAUACUUUCUAGUUAUAGAUGUAAAUCCUCAAGGUACAUGUAUUAGCUCCAAGUCAACCAAAUAUGAAAUAAGGCUAGCUUAUCCUUCAAUUUUUUAUGCCAUAGAGAAUGAAGAGAGUAAUGAAUGUAUUUAUGAUUCCACCAUUAAAAAUGUCACUUAAACUGUAACAAUUUUCAAAGUACCUUGACAUAUCAGAGAAUACAUUUCCAAUGCCUAUAUAGCUACCUAUCUUUAUAAGCAACUAUGACAAUAAAAUUGUAAAUUUUGUUUAAAAAAAGACUGUUGCUCUUCCCAACUUUUAUUCAAAGUUGAAUCUCUGUUAUUGAUAAUACUUAGACAAACUUUAUCUUUCAAGGUUGUAAAAAUUAAAGGCAUUAAAUUGGUAUCUAAAAUCAAAGAAUAGCUUUAUGUAUGAAGUAAUGUGUUGUGUGCUGACAGUUGGCAGGAGAGAUUAUACAAAAUGUAUUGAGACUAAUGCUAUAGAAAAGAUUCUGUGUGUAUAUACAUAGCCCCCCCAGUAAAAAUCCAGUUUUAAAAACUGACUCCCUAUUGGGCAAAUACCCAAAUGCCAAGUUUUAAAUUCAGCAUUAUCUUAUCUCUCUUUAAAGAAAAACUGUUACACAAACAUUAAAAGUAUAAUGAGUUAACAAAAGAAAACCUUUGUUUAGGUUAGCUAAAGUUUUUAUGUAUAAAACAAGUGUAAAUUUUUUCUCUAAAAUGAAGUAUCAAAUAACAUGGAAGAAUGUUAUAGCCCGAGGAAAGCAGCAGAAAAAUCUUGUGGCCAGGUUAUGUUUUUAUGACUUUAAGCUCAGUAUUUCCAUGCUUUAUAUGUCUUAUACUAAACAAAAUCUAUGAAUACAAACUCAGGCCAAUAAAUUAUGCAUUAAUGUUUAGAAAAAUAUACUUUGCCUUUCUGCUAAAUGUGCUACAAAAAGUAAACAUAGCAAACACACUACAGAGCUUGAGCAUUAAAAAAUAAAGCACAAAUCUUACUGUGGCUGCAGAAAAUUAGUAUUAUAAAGGAAAGAUUUGUCAUAUAAUAUGACAACUUUCCUAUAUAUUCUAAAGGUAUACUGAAAAGGCCACUAAUGAAAAACUGUAAUAAAAGACCAUACUUUGCUGUAUGAAAUAAGAGCCUGUGAACUGGCAGAAAAAUAUUCUAAUUUCAAAAAGUCCACUGUAUUAUACCCUAUUUACCACUAACAUUU
ensembl:lncRNA